GGAUUUCAUCUCCAAAUUUAUCUUUGUGUUUGUAAUACGUAUAUGUCUUUGUUCCUUCUGGCAUUAUGGACACUAACAUUUUAAUGUUGCUGGUCCUUUCCAGGGUGGACAAGCUUCAUUUACACGAUAUCUGGAGAUGUGUAUAUUGGGCCCGAUGAUGCACAACAAAAAAUAGAACCUCAUCACACAGCAGUGCUUGGAGAAGGUGACAGUGUCCAGGUGGAGAACAAGGAUCCCAAGAGAAGCCACUUUGUCUUAAUUGCUGGGGAGCCAUUAAGAGAACCAGUUGUCCAACAUGGUCCAUUUGUGAUGAACACCAAUGAAGAGAUUUCUCAAGCCAUUCUUGAUUUCAGAAACGCAAAAAAUGGAUUUGAAAGGGCCAAAACCUGGAAAUCAAAGAUUGGGAACUAGUGGAAAGCAGAAGAGCAGGUCUCGAUGUGUCCUAGAAUUUUGCCAUUUGUGAGAUUGAGCCAUUGAAGGCAUUCCAUUUCUAAAGCUUAUUUAGCCGGUGCUUCUAAAGAAUUCCACACUAAAGUGAUAACAUGGUUUUUGUAACAAUAAAUGUAGGAUAUUUCCUGGCACAUGCAAAUAAACCUAAUCAUUGUUUCUUUAAAAA
rnacentral:sRNA from 1 species